UCCUGUGCUCUGUCUGUGAGAAUGUGGGCAUUACUUACCCUGAUUUUCUUACCGGCAAGGGAGUACCUGCUUCCGGGGUUGGUGAGAAGAUGAGAUAAGUUACUUCCGGAUCACCACUUCAAGCAACACGUUCAAUUAAGAAUGAAUGGCGGUUGAGCAGUGCAUCCAGACUACAGUUGAUGUAAUGGUGAAGGACUAAGCUUUUCUCUACCUCCCUGUCCUGUGGUCUGUCUCAGCAAAUCCACUGGUCUUGGUGGCUGUGGUCAGAAGUCCUCUGACCUGCAGUAGAUGAACUGUCCCACUGUUCUACACCCUACACUACCCUUUCACAUCUUUGGUGUGGCCUCCAGAAAGUGAAAUAAAGAAUGUAAAAGCCUUCAAUUUUCAGUGCGAUCCAGAAACCCUACUUGCUUCUGCAAGCCCUGAAAAUGGCCCCAUUUUUCAGCAGAGCCUUAGGACUCAGUAUUGCCAGUGAAAAUAUAUUGACGUGAAGUUGGCUACAAGUACUUUGUAGCUCAUCCUUUCCAGUAGAAUAAGCAGCUCAUAUCCUUGCCUCUAAAUCUGGAUGGCCUGCCGACAAGCUCUACUGAACAGGAUUAGCUAAUGAAGACCAUCAUAGAAAAGCACAACUGGUUGUAAAGCAGACAGCAAUCAAUCACGCAGAACCCAGCCUGGAAGGAUGCAUCUACAUCUCUGGUUCAGGAAACAGAACCAGAGAAAAGGGCCAGAAAAAAAUUUAAGAGCCAGAAUACCACCAUGUCGCCACCUGUGGUAGUUGGGCAACCUGGCCCCAGGGUCAUGAGAACAGAUCUUAAGAACAGGAAACAUACAAAAAUCCUGGUGAAAAGAGACCAGAGUGGGAGCCUUCACUUCGGAAUCCUCUUCUCUCUCUCUCUCUCUCUCUCUCUCUCUCUCUCUCUCUCUCUCUCUCUCACACACACACACACACACACACACACACACACACGAGUAAGAUGCAUUUGCUAGAGUACAUCACAGGUGCUCUGACACGGGGGUCUGUUCAGCGCUUAACAUUAGGGAAGAAGAUUCCGUUAGCUAUGAAGGCCUCACAGCAGUAAUUUGUGGCCGUGUAUAUCUAUAUGUAUAUAUAUGCUCGCUCUGGGCAUUGAUGCUGACCUCAGCAUCUGUACCUACUCUCAAGUAACAUCCUUCAUUUCCUUGUGUUCACUUCACCUAGUGUCUGUUUUUCUGUCACCAUGGCACUCUCAACGACCUUACUGGGUUUCUGGGAUUUGUCGGGCCAGAGACAUAGUGAGGAUCUUCUACUGUCCCUUCUGGGCAACUAAGAUGUCUACAUCUGUUCAGUCACAUGCUACCUCAUCUAUAGCUACCUGGACAGGAUGAAAAUUUCCAAACCUGCAAUCACCAGUUCCUUGUUUUUGUUUGCUUUUGCUUAAUAGUUUCUCAUUUAAUACAUGUCUCUAUAUUUGUAUUUUACAUGAAGGAGUAAAAAAAGAACUUGAGUAUUUCUCUACAAACAUAAAAAAAUACCCCACCAUGUA